CUCGCGACCCUCCUGCUUCCCUCCCCGCCCCGCGCCGCCUCUCUGGUUUGUGCGCCCGUCGCAGGUCGCAGGCCUCUUUGUCAGCUGGAGUUGCGCGGCAGGUCUGGGCACCGUAACAAUUUUGCGCUUUGCUUCCCCAGGGCUGACGCGCCACUAUGUAGCGGGUUUCGGGCGGGCCACGCGUGCGGGACAGGAACCCAACCCCAGCCGACCUUGAGCUCCAGGAGUUCGUCUCUUACGUCUGCGGAAGUGCAGCUGCCUCAGUUCUUAGCGCAGGUAUGUUCCUAGCCUUGAGCGGGGUGGGGGAAGGAAUGAGUCAGCCUGGAGCACGUGGCCAGUGGGACCGGAGGGUUCCCCGGCGUCUGUUUGUCGCCAAGGUCCGAAUCCGGCUCCCCUUAACUGGAAGGAAACAUCCAUGUAGGGGCUCACCAAACAAAACAGCUGUGUUUGACAACUACAGGCACAAGCCAUUGAAGCUGGAAUGUCCUGUUGCUGGUAUUUCAAUUGACUUAAGCCAACUAUCCCUUCAGUUACAAUAGGAAAGUGCCUCUAAUAAGGCCAAAUAUGCGUACUAACUUGUAGCAACCACGUGUCCGUGCAGUGCCACAGGAGCUAGAGCAGUGACAAUGCUGGUGGCAACAGGGCAGUGUAGCAGGUGCUUCAUGUUCACCUUUUCAACCUUUUCAUUUAAUUGUCACAACUCGGAGGUGGAUUCUGUUAGGGACAGGCUGCCCCAGGACCACUCCGCCCCCGCUAACUCAAUGCAGCUGACCCUUACCCUGAAUACUCUGCAGCUGCAUUCCUGAACCGUUAUCUAGGCGCUAUAGCAAGGUCACCAGACUUGCUACACCGAAGCCCUCUGGGUGGCACGGGGGAGGUCAUGAGAAACGUGGAUUACACCCCCUUGUAAAUUCCUAUUUUCACAAGAUAAUAUAUUGUAAGCCGGUCAUGAGAUUAUAUGUGGUAAAGUUAAUUGACUAACAACCCCAGGGUCUCUCUCCCCCAUAUAAACCCCUCAUUUUGUAAGCUCAGGGCUGCCACCUCCGACUGGUGGAGAAGCCUGGCAGGUUAAUAAACUUACUUGGCCUGACUAAAGAAAUGGAUUAGUGAUAACUCAAGUUUCAUCACCUGUCUACAAGUUUCACGCUGUUUAAGUCAUGAACCUACAAAAGCCUGUGAAAAAAUCUUUGAAGAUGCUCAGCUUGUUUCAGUCUGAAAUUUCUCCAAGACCAAUGAACAAAACAGGAUCAUGCCCUGAAUACACACCCAAGCUGCAGGCUCCUGCUUAGCCCUAUUUUGGUUUGGCCUCCAUGAGAUCUUCAGCCACAAUAGCAGGAGAUAAAAAUCUUCCUAGAAGCUUUCAUCAGCUGCAAGUUUUCUUACAGAAUGAAACUUUUCUGCUAUUUUUCUCAUAGUUAAUUGGCUAUUUGAGAAAACCGAAUUUCUGGCUCUCAGCAUUUAAUUGGAUUCUGUGGGUGACUGGAUGACCGCUUUGCACAUCACCAUGGGUAUCAUCCUUACCUUCUUUAAACCUUUUGUGCCAGUCAAAAAUUCUUGCUCUUGAUAUGUCAUCACCGGAAACUACUUUUUUUUUUUGUUUCUCUUUUGUGACAGG
rnacentral:lncRNA from 10 species